GAUGAACGCUGGCGGCGUGCCUAAUACAUGCAAGUCGAGCGAACAGACGAGGAGCUUGCUCCACUGACGUUAGCGGCGGACGGGUGAGUAACACGUGGAUAACCUACCUAUAAGACUGGGAUAACUUCGGGAAACCGGAGCUAAUACCGGAUAAUAUAUUGAACCGCAUGGUUCAAUAGUGAAAGACGGUUUUGCUGUCACUUAUAGAUGGAUCCGCGCCGCAUUAGCUAGUUGGUAAGGUAACGGCUUACCAAGGCAACGAUGCGUAGCCGACCUGAGAGGGUGAUCGGCCACACUGGAACUGAGACACGGUCCAGACUCCUACGGGAGGCAGCAGUAGGGAAUCUUCCGCAAUGGGCGAAAGCCUGACGGAGCAACGCCGCGUGAGUGAUGAAGGUCUUCGGAUCGUAAAACUCUGUUAUUAGGGAAGAACAAAUGUGUAAGUAACUAUGCACGUCUUGACGGUACCUAAUCAGAAAGCAACGGCUAACUACGUG
rnacentral:rRNA from 1 species